rnacentral:lncRNA from 1 species
AUUAAGUCUAUUUCUCCCCCACAAGUUCUUAUCCAACCCUUUCUCUUCUCUUCUAUUCUCUACUCUUCUCUCCUCUAUUUCUACCCUAAUCCCAAUCUCUAUCUCUCUACCUCAAUUCUCUAUCUCUAUCUCUACCCUUCCCUCACCUCUUACCUCAAAUUUCUCUUAAUUCUUAUCCCAAUUCGCUGAAUUGGCAGCCGUAGUAUACCCAUCAUCCCCGUCGCCAUACUAUCUCAGCAAAUUCUCUUCCUCGGUGGUUGCGACGAGUCCGGGAUACUACAAAUUGGUAUCAGAGCCGCACUAUCCCAGGGACCGUGGGCAGCGAAAAUUCAAUAGGAGCAAGGCCGUUGAAGGCUCUGCCGCUGUGAGGAAUUACUUCGAACAGUAGAGGCGCAACAGGUAACAUCAUCCGACUAGUAUAAUUAAGCAACAGAAGGCUCACACGAGGGUGUACCGAGGUAGUAGCAAGGACUAGUGCUGUUGAGUGGGAGAGCAUUUGUUCUAGAUGCAAAUCUCAACACUCAAUAUGUUGAGGCCAAGCGUGUUUCGGUUUUGCAGUAUUCCUUUCCAUCAUCCCAACGGUUGAGGAUUUUACAGAAACAAGAAGAAAAUGGGGACAGCCUUAUAUCUCAUUAGCUGGAUACUUUAGAAUUGUCUGGAUAAUAUACUACACCAGCCAGGUUUUUUUUUUUUUUCAAAUUGAACUAUAAUCAAGUACAAGAACUUCUGUCUUAUCAAUAACUAUCCCUUCCAUGACUCUCAAAGACACUUCAAAAAACAGUUUUUAAUACCAAGAAGUACCAUGGAGCUUAUUUUUACACAAAAGACAGUAAUUUUGGCAAAAAAUUUGCUCUCAAGAUCAAGCAGGUUAGACUUAAGAAAGAGAUUGUUUGGCCCUGCUGUAGUGUAUAGUGCUGUUUGAGUGAGAAUUUUAUGUCUAGAACUAUUAGGAGAAAGAAACUACAUUAAAAUUUUUCCAACAGAUUCUCUGCAGCAGAAUCAAGAAGGCACCAAAUUGAAGAUUCUUUUGAUACUCAGAAUCUCAUUUCUGCGAGGUGAUUAUCCGCUAUCGAAUCCAUAAUAGAAGGUGGGACUCUUCUCAUUGCAGCAAAAGCACCAGAUUUUUCUCUUUGCCAAACAUUGCACUAAAGAUUUCUACUGCUGAAAGCAAGAGUAGAAGCAAGGCCAAACAGACCCUAAGUUUUAUAGCAUUGCUAUUUAACUGGUCUGACAGGUUGCUUGCUCCUCGCUUAGUGAAUGUGAAAUCAUCUAGAAGUUACUUGCAACAAUUUUUUCUUGAAAGAGGAAAAAAAAAUAAAAAUCCUGUACCCUUGAUUCUAUUUAUAACAAGAAAAGGUGCAAUUUUUCACAAUAGGGAUUUCUAGAAUUGAAAUAGAAGUUCAUGAAGCAUGUUUUUGCAAACAAAUUCAGUUUUACUCCAACCUAAAACAGAAAUGUUUGUACAAAUAUCGUCCCAUAUAUCGUCCCAUAAAAUGUAUGGAUUAACUUUUCCCUAUUUUAAGGACGUGUUAUUCAUUAAGUGAAUGAAAAUAAAUUACCUACCGUGUUCUCUUAUUUCUACAAUGAUCAGCAUUGAAGGCAAAACAAAGCAAAGCACAAAAUUCAUUUCUUCAGAUAAAAGGCUGCCAAACUGGUUUAAAUGUUAGUUCUAGGAGCUUCUUUAUUCUCUAACUAAAUUUGUUGAUAAAGCUUUCAAAUCUUCAGAUAAUAAAAUGCACCAUAAUUAUUUACUUAUAUUUUUAUCUUAAAAAUGAUUAAAAAUAGAGUUAUUAGAUAUUUUACACUGAUAUAUAUUUUUGAGCUAUAUAUUUUUAGGGUUUCUUUUGCAUUUGGCCCCCUCAAAAAAUUUUAUUUCAAAAAUAGCCCCACUAAAUUUAUAAUUGCAAUUUUGGCCCUGUCCCUGCCACGCAGGCGCUGUCAACGCCACGCAAGCGGAGAUGGGGCCAGGAUGUUUGGACACGAUGAACCAUUCACGGUGAACCAUUCACCAUGUUUGGACUCGGCUGAUCUGAUCCCUCAUUAGCCGAAUUGCUUGAUCCGUUGGAGGGCGCAAAAUUCGAGGGUCACUACUUGAAGCCAUACUUAAUCCCUGCAUGUUUCUCUAGGGAGACCUUUGACCAGGUAAAGGGUUGAGAAAUUCGGCUCCUAGCAGUUUGUAUUAUAUUAUAUGAUGCAUUGACGGGAGACAAUAAAUAUAUAAAUGAUCACAAUUGUCCAUUUUUAUUAAAAAUGGAAAUCAGUAAAAGUCUAAUUAAUCAUACGUGUCUACUCCUAUUUAAGAUAAAAAAAUAUCAAUUAAUUAACAUCUAUAAAUUCUCAUGAUUAAAAUCUUAUGUGGCACCAUCUCCUUAAUAUAGGGAAAAGGGGCCCACUAUGUUUUUUUUUCUUCCUUUCCAUCCUCUCUUUGCAUAAUAAUAUUUUUUUUUAUUUAUUAAUAUAUAUAAAUUCUCAUUAUUAAAAUAUUACGUGGCACCAUCUCCUUAAUAUUGGGGAAAAGGGGGCUCCUCAUGUUUUUUUUCCUCCUUUCCAUCCUCUCUUUGCAUUCUGUUUUUUUUUUUUUCAUCCCGUCUCUUUGUAUUCUAUAAUCCUUACACCCACCUAAUGAGAUUCAAAGUCAUUAUCUCUAGCACUCUGUUACUCUCUUCUUCACCGCUUUCUGUCUUUCCAUCUUUCGAAGUUUCGAUAACCUAAACUCCCUACUGCAUCUCUAAAAGCCCUUUCUCAAUAAAUUUCUCUAUUUAGAGGUUGAUCUUUUUUCUAAUUUAGAAAUAAUGCAUAGUAGUGAUCAUGACGACGACAACAGAUUUUUAAUUGACUAUUACAGUUUGAUGCUCUUUUGACAUGGUAUAAUUACUAUACCAUUUAUAUUUGACAAUUUUAUUAUGAAAGCUUAGAAAAGCAAAGUUUUUCGUGUCAUGCAAUUUGUUUAAACACGGUUGAUUAUUUUUAAAUUAUUAAAUUUUUAAUCGUAAUAUAACCUUUUUUAUUUAAAUUUUUUUAUUUAUAAUAUAAUUUUUAUAUGCUACUUUUAAAUUUUAUUAAUAUUUUAUUUUUAUAAUUUUUUUAAUAAUUUUUAUUCGUCAUAAUGGGCGGGUCACCACCCUAAGAAUUUAUAGGGUUAAUUGCAUACACAUCUCUGCAAAUAAGGUGAAUUGUAGAUAUAGUCUUGCAAAGCUCAACUUUCAUAAGUUGUCCUCGCAAAAGUCCUAAUGUAUUCAGAUAUGUCCCUCUGGUUAGGAUCCGUUAGAAAACUGUUAAUUUUUUAACAGUAUGCUUGUGAAAUGACAAUUUUGCCCUCACAAAUAUGUCCCUCCAAAAGCACAUUUGCAGAAAUGUCCUCACCCUCAUCCUCUUUCUCUUCCUCUUCGGGCGGCGGGAGCAGACGGCGGCGGCGGCGGAUCAUUGACGAUGACGACAAAGAAGAAGAAGAAGAAGGAGAAGAGAAGGAUACAAAAAAGAAGAAGGAGGCGGCGAAGGCCGUUGUUAGCUGGCGGCGCCGCUGGGGAUGGCCCGCGGGAGCACUACUCCAUCUCCCACGAGGAGGAGGUCGGCGUAGACGGCGAGCUGCUUGAGGGCAUCGGAGGCGAGCCUCGAGACCUGCGACCCCGGCGGCCGCCGCUACAGCACGAUCUCGCUGCUGCGACACAGGCCCCUUCCCGGCGACGGGCGGUCUUGCUCCCUCGCCCGCCUCUGCUAUAGUGUCUCGGGGGCUUUGUAUCGGAUUGGCUACAGUAUUAGCGACUGGUCCACACGUCUGGAGAGUGUCGGACUGAAUCGGAGUCCUUUUUGCAAAAAAUUGAUGUAGAAACGGACUUGGCACACUCAAAUAAGAAAAAUUAGAGUUUUGCCAGUUUCGGGCACUCGAAACAUGGUUUAGGUCGCCCGGAUCUUAAGUGCUGAACUGAACUGAAACUGGAAGCCAAUUCGGAUCUUGUGUUUUGGGCACCCGGAAGUGUGCCCGAAUGUUCACCUCAUGAUUAACGUUUACUUUGACACAUGUAUGUUGGUAGGUGGGGACCACCGAACCAGGUUAAGGGCACAGCAUACCGUAGGGGGAGGAACCAAG